rnacentral:rRNA from 1 species
UACGUAGGGUGCAAGCGUUGUCCGGAAUUACUGGGCGUAAAGCGUGCGUAGACGGUUAUCUAAGUCGGAUGUGAAAGCCCCGGGCUCAACCUGGGAAUUGCAUUCGAGACUGAAUAGCUAGGGUGCGGUAGAGGGAAGCGGAAUUUCCGGUGUAGCGGUGAAAUGCGUAGAUAUCGGAAGGAACAUCAGUGGCGAAAGCGGCUUCCUGGACCAGCACCGACGUUCAGGCACGAAAGCGUGGGGAGCAAACAGG